AUACGUAGGGGGCGAGCGUUGUCCGGAAUGAUUGGGCGUAAAGGGCGCGUAGGCGGCGCGGUAAGUCUGGAGUGAAAGUCCUGCUUUCAAGGUGGGAAUUGCUUUGGAUACUGCCGCGCUUGAGUGCAGGAGAGGUUAUCGGAAUUCCCGGUGUAGCGGUGAAAUGCGUAGAGAUCGGGAGGAACACCAGUGGCGAAGGCGGGUAACUGGACUGCAACUGACGCUGAGGCGCGAAAGUGUGGGGAGCAAACAGGAUUAGAUACCCUGGUAGUCCACACUGUGAACGAUGAAUGCUAGGUGUAAGAGGUAUCGACCCCUUUUGUGCCGGAGUCAACACAAUAAGCAUUCCGCCUGGGGAGUACGGCCGCAAGGUUGAAACUCAAAGGAAUUGACGGGG
rnacentral:rRNA from 1 species